rnacentral:rRNA from 1 species
UACGGAGGAUGCAAGCGUUAUCCGGAAUGAUUGGGCGUAAAGCGUCCGCAGGUGGCAAUGUAAGUCUGCUGUUAAAGAGUCUAGCUCAACUAGAUAAAAGCAGUGGAAACUACAUAGCUAGAGUACGUUCGGGGCAGAGGGAAUUCCUGGUGUAGCGGUGAAAUGCGUAGAGAUCAGGAAGAACACCGGUGGCGAAGGCGCUCUGCUAGGCCGCAACUGACACUGAGGGACGAAAGCUAGGGGAGCGAAUGGG